ACGCUUUUUGACCCAUUUGUUGACACAUAAAAGCGUCGGAGAAAACAUUUGACGCAUUGUUUGAUGCAUAAAAGCGUCGAGAAAUAGAGAAUUCACGACACUUUCUUCGUCAAGAACCUAUACACUUUUUUCGACGCCUUUUCCGUCAAGAAAACUGCUUCCCAUUUCCCACAUAUAUUAUUUGUUAAUGUUCUACAAAUUAUUAUAAUUCGAUAUGAAUGCUAAAGCUAAGUUAAACAAAUAACCAGACUUAGAUAUAUACUAUAUGUGACUAAACUUUACACAACAUUUGGUGAGGCCGCUCUUGAUCCCGAGGUGUUGGGAUACAAGUUGGAAGGUGGGGAGAUUCUUUCUAACUGCCCUCCUUACGACUUCAAGGCUAGCAACCCUCGGCAACCGAGGUUAGAGAACGCCCGGUUUUCGGCUCACGCCUUGGCCCAUAUCGACGACGUUCGGGCCGAUCCUUGGUCUCCUGAAAUUUUUGUUUAAGCGCCAUAAACGAUAGAAAGGAGAUUGAGGGAAAAUUCUGGCGCCAUUGAAAAUUGAGAGGUGAGAAACAUAAAAUUUAUUUGCGCCAUUGAAAUCUCUGGGAUCUUUUCAUUUUCUGGGUAAGUCGUCAUCAUCAAGAUGAUAUAAUUUGAAAUAGAUCAAUCUCGGCGAGCACAUGAUUUUCUUUCUUUUCUUCAUCUACCAUUUCCAGAUACGUCAGGAAGGAGAGCGCACUGUCUCUGACUUAAUCCUCUGAAGAUCCCCACCGUUGAUUUUGGUUUGAUCUCUCUCCUCAGCCACGCCCACUACCGUACGAUCCAUCUUCACCUUCCUAAUCUUCUUUACUUUCUCUCUCUUCUCUUCUCCAUCUUUUGCUUCUGAGUCAGAUCACAAGAUACCCAUUUUUAGCUUUAAUGGGAAAUUAUUGAAGAGGAAAGGAAGGAUAGGUAUUGGAAGGGAGGAGCAAUUAGGGUGCUCAGGGAUAAAUUCCCAGGGCAUCACUAAGCCUGCCAUUUGUCGUCUUACUCCCCGAGGCGGUGUCAAGAGGAUCAAUUUCUCAAUACAAGGUUCUAUAGGACAUCUAUAUUUUGAUUCCAGUUCAGGCAGAUGUAAGAAAACGACUAUUGUUUGCAUAUAGUACCUCAUUAGCUGAUCUAAAUGAUUAGCCUAGCUGCAGUAGAGGUGUCACGAGCUCACAUAAUGGGAUUUCAACUCCCCCGAUGUUUGUUUCCUUUGCGAGCAGACACUUGAGAUUGCCCAAUUUUUGGUAUUUGUAUACAGUUGUUUUUUUGUUUUUCCCUUAUGGAUCUUGUUGUUCAAGUCCUUAUAUGAAACUUGUCUGGUUAUUUAAGCAAAUGCAGAGCAUUUGUAGUUUUUUUAUGCUUAGCAGGUAAUGGCAUACAGACACCAGAAGCAAUCACAACCACCCAUGGAAUAUUACGCAGAUUUAGUGAUUUCUUAAAGCUGUUUUCAGAGGUUUAGCCCACAUAAUUUUAUUAGGGUUGGUGGGGAGUCCUGGAGAAAAUGAAAUGAUCCAAUUAUUCACAAGAAAAAGAAGAAAGUAAUUGACUCUAAUAGGAAAA